rnacentral:rRNA from 2 species
CGACCCCAGGUCAGGCGGGGUUACUCGCUGAAUUUAAGCA